CCUACGGGAGGCAGCAGUGAGGAAUAUUGGUCAAUGGGCGGGAGCCUGAACCAGCCAAGCCGCGUGAGGGAAGAAGGUACAGCGUAUCGUAAACCUCUUUUGUCAGGGCACAAAGGCGGGGACUAGUCCCCGGAUGAGGGUACCUGAAGAAAAAGCAUCGGCUAACUCCGUGCCAGCAGCCGCGGUAAUACGGUGGAUGCGAGCGUUAUCCGGAUUUAUUGGGUUUAACGGGUGCGCAGGCGGCCUGUUAAGUCAGCGGGAAAAGCCCGGGGCUCAACCCCGGCGAGCCGUUGAAACUGGCGGGCUGGAGUUGGAGAGAAGUACGCGGAAUGCGCGGUGUAGCGGUGAAAUGCUUAGAUAUCGCGCAGAACCCCGAUUGCGAAGGCAGCGUACCGGCUCCACACUGACGCUGAGGCACGAAAGCGUGGGUAUCGAACAGGAUUAGAUACCCCAGUAGUC
rnacentral:rRNA from 1 species